UAGACAACUGAAUAAAGAAGAUGUUGCAAUCCAGUGGUGAGCGGAAACUAAACCCCAGCUUAGAAACAGGGUUAUUCUUCAUGUGGAUGACUUUGUGCCGAAAGCAUGGGAACAACC